UUUUGUGAAUUUUGUUAUUAACAUUUUCAUUUCGAACGACGUACAUAUUAUAUGUAUACAUACAUACAUACAUACAUACACAUAUACGCCCAUGAAGAAUGAACGCUCAGAUACAAAAAGCAUAUAUAUAUAUAUAUAUAUAUAUGUGUGUAUAUAUAUGUAUAUGUCUAUAUAAAUCAUCGAAAAAUUGACGCUCAUAUAUAUAUAUAUGUAUGUCUAUAUAAAUCAUCGAAAAAUUGACGCUCAUAUAUAUAUAUAUGUAUGUGUAUAUAUAUGUAUAUGUCUAUAUAAAUCAUCGAAAAAUUGAUGCUCAUUGUCAGAUAUAAAAAGUAUAUCGAGUGUAUCGAUUAAUUUACCUGCUGCAUGCGUUGCAAUGGAGCAGCCCUAUCAAGAAGACUUCCAGCUGGUAAAAGUUGAACGUCUCCUCUUGUAGUAACUCGACUGUCCUUGGCAGCAGCCAAUUCCAAGAUUCUUGCACCAUUGACGACAAGGCCAGCGAUUACUCCUAAAAAUGGUCUUUCGACCCUUCCCUUGCUUCGAUUCCAUCUGCCACCUACUUGUAUGGUCGAUUGGCUAUUGAAUACUGAGUGCUGAUAGCCUGUAAGGGAUAAAAGAAAUAACCAUGGACAGUCCGAUCACAUAGAAAGGGAAUAUCAUUGAUUUAACAAGUGGUGGUUCGCUGUAGUACUCUACAAAUUAUUCGUUUGACCGUUGAUUAGGCGAGCAUGAAGAGCUGGAUGUGAUGCGAGUCUCUUUAUUGACCAGUCGAUUUGGCCCUUGUCCUCGCAUAUUUAUACAUGGUACAAAGGUAAUACACAUAAAAUAGAUUAUCGUCGUUUUCAUUGUUAAAAGAAAAUUAUAACGAGAUUAAUACGAACAGACAGAUAGACCUUCGAUUAGAAUUAGACGUUUUAUCAAGAAAAUUGUAAAAAGAAUACAUGCAACUUUCAAUAAAUAUAAAAUAUUAUAUGUUAUUUUAUAAACUUUGUUCGUAAUUGUAUAGAUUGUCAGGAUAAUUCGGAUAACGUAAUAAUUGUAAAUAAUUUUAUAUUAUUUAAUACGAUUUUGUAUAUGAUUUAUAAAAAAAAAAUUCUUUUAACACAGGUUAUAUUUCUCUAUUGAAGAAUUUUUAUUUACAAGUAGUACGAAAUUUUGAACAGGAAAUAAUAUAGAAGAGUUCGAUACUAUAAGACGAAUAAGAAAGAGUCAGCUAGUUGGGAAUAUGACGGUGAUCUGAAAUUUCUGACUCGGCACUUGUCGACCAGGCAUAGUCGGUUUAUCAGCAUAGUAUAAAAAUACAGCUGGUAGAUCGUGUCUCUUCUCUUCUGGGCACGUGUGCGCGGGCGCAUGCGCACGUGUCGGUAUUCAGUGGCCUGAAAUUUCUUUUAACGACUACCUAUACGUAUAUAGUGUAACCUGCUGUUUCGUCCGCCAUGAUGCUUGUUAAAUGGCACGUGCGCGCACGUGCCGUAUCAUAAAACGUAUUGGAAAUAUAAAAUUGGGCACGCGCAAACGAACAAUCUACCCUUUCUAUCGAGAAAACGAGAUAAGGAUGUCAUUGACGGCACAUUCCGAUCCGAAGAAGUCCAAUAAACUGUAUCACUUUACUAGGAGAGCAGAAGAGCAUGCCACGAUACCCGGUUCGAUUCGAGAAUUUCGGCUGGUAGAAAGCGUGGGUUUGAAUAUAGUUUUGUACGUCUGUGUUUGUCUACUGUCUGUCUGCCUGUCUGUUGGUUGGUUGCUACUCCUGCUCCUGCUCCUGCUCCUGCUACUACUGUUUGCAUGUGUACAUGCGUGUGUAUGCACGUAUAUGUAUGUUUCCAUGUAUCGUCACACCAUACGAGAAUUCCGUUUGACUCUUCAGUGAGUAUCGAUGUGUGCGUAGGUACCGAAUUAAAUUUCUGGUC